UGCUAGUUGUACGAGCUUAGACUCGUUGCGGAAGCUCAGUAACACGUGGACAAACUACCCUACGGAGAACGAUAACCUCGGGAAACUGAGGCUAAUAGUUCAUAGGGGAGUCGCGCUGGAAUGCCGACUCUCCCAAACGCUCCGGCGCCGUAGGAUGUGUCUGCGGCCGAUUAGGUAGACGGUGGGGUAACGGCCCACCGUGCCGAUAAUCGGUACGGGUUGUGAGAGCAAGAGCCCGGAGACGGAAUCUGAGACAAGAUUCCGGGCCCUACGGGGCGCAGCAGGCGCGAAACCUUUACACUGUACGCAAGUGCGAUAAGGGGACCCCAAGUGCGAGGGCAUAUAGUCCUCGCUUUUCCCGACUGUAAGGCGGUCGGGGAAUAGGAGCUGGGCAAGACCGGUGCCAGCCGCCGCGGUAAUACCGGCAGCUCAAGUGAUGACUGAUAUUAUUGGGCCUAAAGCGUCCGUAGCCGGCCACGAAGGUCUAUCGGGAAAUCCGCCAGCUUAACUGGCGGGCGUCCGGUAGAAACCACGUGGCUUGGGACCGGAAGGCUCGAGGGGUACGUCCGGGGUAGGAGUGAAAUCCUGUAAUCCUGGACGGACCACCGAUGGCGAAAGCACCUCGAGAAGACGGAUCCGACGGUGAGGGACGAAAGCUAGGGUCUCGAACCGGAUUAGAUACCCGGGUAGUCCUAGCUGUAAACGAUGUCUGCUAGGUGUGCCACAGGCUACGAGCCUGUGGUGUGCCGUAGGGAAGCCGUGAAGCAGACCGCCUGGGAAGUACGUCCGCAAGGAUGAAACUUAA
rnacentral:rRNA from 1 species